rnacentral:rRNA from 1 species
AGCUCCAAUAGCGUAUAUUAAAGUUGUUGUGGUUAAAAAGCUCGUAGUUGGAUCUCGGCGGUCUGAGGGCGGUUCGCUUGAUUGAGUGCUACUGCUCUAUAGGCCGUGGUUUUGCCAGAGGUCUCGGGGUGCUCUUAACCGAGUGUCCUGCGAUGCUGGCAGGUUUACUUUGAAAAAAUUAGAGUGCUCAAAGCAGGCUUUUACGCCUGAAUAUUCGUGCAUGGAAUAAUAGAAUAGGAAGUCGUUUCUAUUUUGUUGGUUUUCGGAAAUCGACUUAAUGAUUAAUAGGGACAGUCGGGAGCAUUUGUAUUCAAACGACAGAGGUGAAAUUCUUGGAUCCUCGCCAGACCAACAAAAGCGAAAGCAUUUGCCAAGAAUGUCUUCA